rnacentral:rRNA from 1 species
GACGAACCGAGCGAACGUUAUUCGGAAUCACUUGGGCUUAAAGGGCGCGUAGGCGGACCAUCAAGUCAGGGGUGAAAUCCCACGGCUCAACCGUGGAAGUGCCUUUGAUACUGGUGGCCUUGAGCGAGGUAGGGGCGUGCGGAACUUCCAGUGGAGCGGUGAAAUGCGUUGAUAUUGGAAGGAACACCGGUGGCGAAGGCGGCACGCUGGACCUCUUCUGACGCUGAGGCGCGAAAGCUAGGGGAGCAAACGGG